AAACUGUGCAAUGCGCGAAAGCGCGACACGGGAAGCCUGAGUGCCUUAACUAUGUUAAGGCUUUUCUUGAGCCUAAAAAGCUCAAGGAAUAAGAACUGGGUAAGACGGGUGCCAGCCGCCGCGGUAACACCCGCGGUUCGAGUGGUAGUCACUUUUAUUGAGCCUAAAGCGUUUGUAGCCGGAUUUGUAAAUCUCCAGGAAAAGACUUCAGCUCAACUGAAGAAAUUUUGGAGAGACUGCAAAUCUAGGGACCGGGUGAGGUUGAAUGUACUUCUGGGGUAGGGGUAAAAUCCUGUAAUCCUGGAAGGACGACCGGUGGCGAAGGCGUUCAACUAGAACGGAUCCGACGGUGAGGAACGAAGGCUAGGGGAGCAAACCGGAUUAGAUACCCGGGUAGUCCUAGCUGUAAACACUGCCCACUUGGUGUUGCAUCUCCGGUAAGGGGGUGCAGUGCCGUAGCGAAGGUGUUAAGUGGGCCGCUUGGGGAGUAUGGUCGCAAGGCUGAAACUUAAAGGAAUUGGCGGGAGAGCACCGCAACGGGAGGAGCGUGCGGUUUAAUUGGAUUCAACGCCGGAAAACUCACCGGAGGCGACCUAUGUAUGAGAGUCAACCUGAUGAGUUUACUCGAUAGUAGGAGAGGUGGUGCAUGGCCGUCGUCAGCUCGUACCGUAGGGCGUUCACUUAAGUGUGAUAACGAGCGAGACCCCCAUCUUCAAUUGCUAAUUCAAUCGUGAGGUUGGAAGAACUUUGAAGGGACCGCCAGCGCAGAGCUGGAGGAAGGAGGGGUCGACGGCAGGUCAGUACGCCCGAAUC
rnacentral:rRNA from 1 species